rnacentral:tRNA from 3 species
GCGGAAGUAGCUCAGUUGAUAGAGCAUUAGCCUUCCAAGCUGAGGGUCGCGGGUUUGAGCCCCGUCUUCCGCUCAA